rnacentral:rRNA from 1 species
GGGGAAUAUUGCGCAAUGGGGGCAACCCUGACGCAGCCAUGCCGCGUGAAUGAAGAAGGCCUUCGGGUUGUAAAGUUCUUUCGGUAGCGAGGAAGGCAUUUAGUUUAAUAGACUAGGUGAUUGACGUUAACUACAGAAGAAGCACCGGCUAACUCCGUGCCAGCAGCCGCGGUAAUACGGAGGGUGCGAGCGUUAAUCGGAAUAACUGGGCGUAAAGGGCACGCAGGCGGUGACUUAAGUGAGGUGUGAAAGCCCCGGGCUUAACCUGGGAAUUGCAUUUCAUACUGGGUCGCUAGAGUACUUUAGGGAGGGGUAGAAUUCCACGUGUAGCGGUGAAAUGCGUAGAGAUGUGGAGGAAUACCGAAGGCGAAGGCAGCCCCUUGGGAAUGUACUGACGCUCAUGUGCGAAAGCGUGGGGAGCAAACAGGAUUAGAUACCCUGGUAGUCCACGCUGUAAACGAUGUCGAUUUGGGGGUUGAACUUUAAGUUUGGCGCCCGUAGCUAACGUGAUAAAUCGACCGCCUGGGGAGUACGGCCGCAAGGUUA